GCACUGCUGAAGAGUUCCACAAUAGGACGAAACGGCCGUCCAAUGC
rfam:Schistosoma rodhaini strain Burundi genome assembly, scaffold: SROB_scaffold0010107